rnacentral:lncRNA from 1 species
UGGGUCUGCUUUCAAAUUCUCUUUGUUGUCUUGAAAGAUAGAUCAGUUUUAGUUUGAUCUGCUAAUGAAAUUGUUUUCUUGGAUAACAGUUUACAGAAUAUGAAUUUCUCAAUGUUGUCAAAGCCAAUUCUUACAUGUGUUCUGGGAGAAUGUAUUUCAUAACCUUUGAGGUUCGAGAUCCUUACGACAACCUGCCAAAGCUCUUCCAAGCUAGGGUCCGCUAUUAUUAUGAUGUUACGGAUGACUACAUAUUAUGCAGACCAAAACCCAAUCAGAAAGGUAUUAUUAUUGUUCUCUUCUUUCUGCAUGACUAAUGUAAUCGUUUCCGUAGAUCAUUAGGCCAGAUUGUUUGUGAAUUGGCAAUUGUGGUGUGCAUUUGUAUAAUUCUUUGUCUUUUGAAUUAUAUGAUCCUAUAUAUGUUUCUUCACAAGACUCUUUUGUAAUGGUAAAAUUUGAUUGUUUUGUCAGUCAAAUGCGUUGGAACUGCCAAGACACAUAAAAGGUAAACCCGUCGUUUACUUUGAUGCAUCUCUUCCUUUCUGUUAUUGUUCUAAUCGUAGAUCGGUUCUUUACACUCUUUUAAUCUGUUCUCUUCUUUCUCUUCAUGAUUUUUGCAGAUUGGCAUAGGAAGCUUAUGCAAUCUCUAAUGUGGUUGGAUGUUGAGCAGUGAGCUAAAUUAGUGUUUGGAGUGUUCAGAGUUUAUGGUAGAAUUGUUCUUGUCGCCCAAAUCCACUACUAGGAAGGAAUUAUUAAUGUGAGAUAUAUUUUAAUUAACAAGCUAUUGAGAAAGAAAAACAUUGAACAUUUCUAGUCAAAUUCGUGUAAUGUGUUGGAUGCUAUGGGAAUCUCUUUUUUUUUUUUUUUUUUUUGAUUGACUAUGGGACUCUCUCUUUGUGGACGUUUUCUUAUUACCCAUAUCAUAUGCAUCCUUGUAUCGGACCCCCAAAAAAAUACUUUAGUAGUUUACUCGAUGAAAAUGUUUUUUUACAUUUUUUCUUUGAUUUAUAGAGGAUGCGAAUUUUGCAUUUGUUCAAAAGCCCAUUUUCACAAUCAAAUUAGGAUUGCAACUAUUUUUUUCUUCGCUUAUUGACUGUCAAUUUUACGUGAUUUAACCAUCAAUAAACAAUGGUUUACAAAAAAAAAAAAAAAAAAAAACCAUCAAUAAACAACAUUGACAAAUACGGUUUCUUCUCUCAAGUCAAGCGACUCUUUCUUUUUCUACUUUUAAUUCUUAGGUUUUGUUAUUAAUGGUUUCCCUAUCUCUCUCAAACGAGCAUUCUCCUUGCAAUUCUCGUAAUUGGUUUCUCUUCCUUUGGAAGAGUGUUUGUCCGGCGAUUGAUCUACGAUUCUUUUGGAUCAGUUUUGUCGGUGUAUGUCCGUUGAGUGCAAUCUCUAGCGGUGGGUGGAAAGUAUCAUCUUCAUAUCAAGUUCGAAUCCCUAAACCGCCAUGGAUAUCUUUUUAUUUUAACACUUCUUCGGCUUUCUUUUAUUGCCUUCUCCAAUUAUCAACAAGCACGAAUCAUGAUCUCCAACGCCGAUCGCAAGAUAUUAUUUUUGCUGUCGACCAUACAUUGAAAAUUUUACAAACCAACAUGUUUGUUCAUUUGGUAGAUCUGAAUCUUUUCAUUGUGUAUCUUCGAUUUUGGAGUGACUUUAUUGCCGUACGACAUAAUCCCUUGCCGGCGUAUUUCCAAGAUUUCACUUCGUUGGUCUUGUUCUUCAUCAGUUUUGGUUGGCUUCGGAAACAUGUACUAUGGCAACAACUAUGGAAGAGAUGGCAUUUCAGAAUGAAAGAGGAAACCAUAGUCAAUAAGCGGAAACGAUAUCAAAGGUUGAUUUCAAAGAAAGUAAAGUCAAAGUCGAAUCCCCAUGUAAAGACUCGGAUACGAAAAUAUUGGUAUCCGAUAGUCAUAGUUUCAGAACUUACGAUGGAAGCAAUAGGUUUCACCAUGCAGUGUGCAAUUUGGAGAUCAAGCCAAGAGAAGGUAUCCACGCACACAGUUCGCAUCAGAGCGAGAUCGAAUAUGAAGAAGGAAAAUAAUGGAUCUAAUAAUCCGUUAGCGAGUAAGGCUUAUCUGAGAAAAGCAUCGUCAAAUUCCUUUUGUAUCGUGUAUCUUUCUUACUAUAUGGCGCAUAAAUAUGCUUAUGUAAUAAUUUGCUUUUCGAAAGUUCUGUAACCUGACUUUGUAAUGUUGAUUUGAUAUCAAUGAAUUUAGAAGAAAAAAAAAAAAAACAACAUUGACAAAUACGAAGGAGUAAGUUGUAAUCAGUUUCUUGACAAGCGGGUUGAUGGAUAUAAUGGCUUAACUUUGAUGAGAUCUUUUCCUUCGUAUUCCGGUUUUUCCUAUUUUCUAUUUUUCGUUUUCUUUGUUUUUUUUUUUUUAACUCAAACAUGCCAUUUUUAAGGUUUAUCCGAAAAUAUCAUUUGUGCAAAUAUGUAGUUAAUACAAUAAUACUCUAACAAUGAAAUAGCAGUUUUCGAACUUUUGUAACUUGUAUAUGAUACAAUUUUCCUUAAAAUCAAGCAUCACACUAUACUCAUUUGACCAAUUUAAAGGGGUGUGAGUGUCGUCGACUUAAAACUAAGAGGAGAAAAUACAAAGAAUAUAAGCAUAGAGGAACUCCAAUGCAGUUAACUCGAGACAUUUACUUAAAAGUUAGGGUUUUGUCUUUGUAUCAAAAGACAAGGCGUAUCUGAUUCACCAAAAUUCCUAACCCGAACAAAAAUACAUGAUCCAAACCAGUUCUAGGUAGAAAUACCUGAAUGACUUAGAGAUAGGUAUUUCGGGUGUCGGGUUGGGUUUUUGUCGUGCUUUUUAUUUUAAUGAUAGAUUAAUUUGUAUUUUUUUUUGCAAAAAUAAGUUAAGGUAUUUUUCGACAAAUACUAAAUAAUUCAAAUUUUUUCAAGAAUAUUCCUCUGAAUAAAACUAACAGUGUUUGACGAUUCGGUUAACACCGUUGAUGGCCAUUAUGACAAAGGUGGAAAACCGGAACAAAAAUUUCAUCGUUUUUUUUUAUAUUUCAAAACAAAAUUAGUGUAUGUAUUUUUCUGCCAACUAAGAGAAUUCAGUUCGUUUUCAAGAAAAUAUUAAAUAAGUCGGAUUUCUAUCGAGAAUUUUCCCAAAAGAAAACUAAUAGUCGAAUUCGAGGUAGCUAAAAUAUAGGAAAAUAUAAAAAAAAAGGAGAAAUCUAUAUAUAUAAUGGGAGAGUUUUCUCUCCUCUUAAGGUGUCCACAUCAUCAUGUUAAACAUCCAAUUAAAUAAAGCCAUGUCAUUAGUUAAUUUUUUUUUAAAAAUAAAGUCUAAUUACAAUAUUCAUUUAAUUCACAUUUAUUUAUAUUAAUGUUAAUUAUAAUAACAGAAAUUAUAAUUAAAGUAAAAAGAAUUACAUAAAAGAAAUGAAAUUUUAAAAUCUAUAUAUAUAAUGGGAGAGUUUUCUCUCCUCUUAAGGUGUCCACAUCAUCAUGUUAAACAUCCAAUUAAAUAAAGCCAUGUCAUUAGUUAAUUUUUUUUUUAAAAUAAAGUCUAAUUACAAUAUUCAUUUAAUUCACAUUUAUUUAUAUUAAUGUUAAUUAUAAUAACAGAAAUUAUAAUUAAAGUAAAAAGAAUUACAUAAAAGAAAUGAAAUUUUAAAAUAGUAAAAGUAAUACUAUAAAAAUUGUAUUAGUAAUAAUAAUAUUAUUCAACUUUCAACAUAAAAAAAAUGAUUAUAUUUCAAAUUUUUGAAUGUGUUAAAUGAGUUUUAGUAUGGAAGUAAAAUUUAAAUGCAUCGUAGAGUAAAAACAAUUUAUGUAAUUGUUUCUGUAAUUUUAAAUAAAUAAAAUAAAAUUUAAAGUAAAACAUUAAUUUGUAAGAGCAAUAUACUACAGAAAGUUUUUCUUUAUUAUGAAAUAUUCACUUAAUUAAGAAAAAAUUACUAAAUCCAACUUACAAUUUUUAAUUUAAGACAAAGACAUGGAAAGAGUCACACUUUUUUGUGAAAUAAUGGAAACAAAUCCUAAAAAUUCAAAAACGUUAUGAUCUAUCUUCUAAAAAAAAAAAAUUGGUUAUAUUAUUCAUGAGUUGUAUAAUAAAAUAUAUGUAAGUUGUUAACAAAAAAAGUGAUAUAUAAAUUAUGUAAGAUAUAUCUCAAGUUAAACUACAACUAUAUAACAUAAUCAAAUAGAAAAACACGUUUAAAAGUUCAUCACCUAAAUCAAAUGUUUUCAGCCCAAAAAUUGGUGGAAACAACAUAUUUAAAGUAUAUUACCUUUUUAUUUGACAAGAUGAUGUUCAGCUUACAUCACAAGAUUAACAUCUCAAAAUAACAAAAAGCGGUAAGCCAAGUAGUGGUUUAAAAUCACAAAAAGUGGUAGGCUAAAGAGUGUUCUGAAAUCACAAUGACACUAUUAUGAAUGAAGAUGGAAUUACAUUAUAUAAGUGUUUGAAUGUGUAAGUGUUUUUUAAAAAAGUAUAAUUUCCAUAGAAACUUUUAAGUGCAUUUAAACAUUAGAUUAUGCAAUCUUAAAAAACAAAAAUAAUGAGAUACAACAUAGAUAUUAGUCAAAUUUUUAAUAUUUAAAGUUAUUUUCAACUGUUAUGAUUCUAAAAACUGACCUCUAUGAUAACAUAAUAUAUUACUAAACCCACGCGCUGCGUGGGUCAUUUUCUAGUUGUUAAAAAUGCCCCUUUUUCAAUACCCCUUUUCAAAAAUGUCCCCUUUGAGAGUCCAUUUUUAAGUUUGCCCUCUUUUAAUUUUUAAUGACCAUUUUACCCUUAUUUGAAACAAAAUUAGGUCCACAAAAUACAAAAUAUUUUUUGGCGGGAAAAGUGAACCCGCAAUUUUCCCGCCAAAACACUUGUAAAAACCUUUAAAAUACCUUGUAAAAUUUUCCCGCCAAAAAAAUUUUUUUGCGGGAAAAAUGAUUCCGCAAUUUUUUUGGUGGGAAAAAUUUACAAGGUAUUUUAAAGGUUUUUACAGAGUAUUUACAAGUGUUUUGUAAGGUUUUACAAUGUAUUUUAAAAGGUUUUACAAGAUACUUAUAAGGAUUUAUAAGGUAUUUAUAACUUGUAAAACCUUAUAAAAAACUUGUAAAACCUUAUAACUUGGAAAACCUUAUAAAAUAGCUUGUAAAAUCUUAUAAUAUCUUAUAAAUACCUUAUAAAUACGUUGUAAAACCUUUUAAAAUACAUUGUAAAACCUUAUAAAUACCCUGUAAAAAACCUUUAAAAUACCUUGUAAAUUUUUCCCGCCAAAAAAAUUGCGGAAUCACUUUUCCCGCAAAAAAAAAUUUUUGGCGGGAAAAUUUUUUGGCGAGAAAAUUUUACAAGGUAUUUUAAAGGUUUUACAAGUUUUUACAAAAUCAAAUUUGUAAUUUUGAUGUGUGCACAUUCUCAUGUUUUCCCUAUAUAUUUGUGAUAUUUUUUUAUUAAAAGAAGGGUAAUUUAGUCAUUUUGUACAUAAAAAGGGGUAUUUUUAAAAAUGGACAGCCAAAAGGGACAUUUUUGAAAAAGAGUAUUGAAAAAGGGGCAUUUUUGUGAGUCUCCAAAAAAAAAGUCAUACUCAACUGAAAAAAUGCAAACCCACCCCUAACUUUACCUUAAGUAAAAUAAUGCGUUAACCUUUUUUUUUUUCCUCUAGAUUUAUUAUUUAUUGCAAAUUAUGAGAACUGUUACAUAGACGAUUCUACAACUGACAAUUCCUUCCGAUCCUUAUUAGAUCCACGACAGACGUCACCUCUUUCACCUCCUUCUUCAUGCUCACCUCUUUCACUUCCUUCUUCAUGCUUUUGAUGGACACUUCACUCUCUGCGUAGAAUCCUGGCGAACGGCUAUAAUUGUACAUCGUUGGAGAUCUCAUGCACACUUGCCUCCAAUAAUCUGCAAAUAUAUUAAUAAAUCGCAGUAUCUGGGCUUCGAACCCCAGACCUCUGGAUGUAGAAGCAUUAAUUAACCCUUGAUCAACCAAUGAGCCAAGGAGACUUCCACAAUGCGUUAACUUUUAUUUGUUUUUCUUUUUAAUUGUAAACUUUUAUUGAACUUUUAUUUUAAUCGCUAAUUUUUGUUGACUUUGUAAAAUAAGCCACGCUGUUAAGUUGACUAACGGAACAACUUAAUGGAGUUAAAUUUUCUUUGAGAUUCUAUGCUAAACUAUUAAACGAGAACGUUUUGAUUAAAAAGUAAGACUAAAAAUGAGACUCGAACUUCGUAGCUUUUGGAUAAAACCAUGUAUACGCCAAUGUUGGUAUAAAGAAACAUUUUCUUUGUGACAGUGGUGAAGGAUAGUCAACGCAUUGGAGAUUUCUAGAGAAUCGAGUUCGGAAACUAAUUUUCAAGGAGAGUGUAAAGCAGCCUACCAAAAAAAAAGGAGAAUGUAAAGCAAACAUGAUAAGAAUGUAACCCAGUAACACGUUGGUGAUUAAACACUAAUUUUUUAAUUUGGAGAAUUUAUACUAAAAAUAUAUAUAAAUAUAUGUUUGUGGUUGUAAAAUUUUAGCUUGUUUGGUAAUGAAUUUAUGGAUUAUUCGAAAGAUAAAAGAUUCAAUUCUUAUUUUUUGAGUUUUAUUUUUUAAUCAAAAUAUUGUUGUUUUGUGUAGUUUAUCAGAAAUUCUCAACGAAAAUUUAACUUUGUAUAUUAGUUGUGAUAGUCAACUUACGACGUGUUUUAUUUGGCAAAAAAAAUUUCAACAAAAGUUAGCGAUUAAAAUAUAAAAUUAACAAAAUAAAUUAACGAUAAAAAUAAAAAUUAAAUAAAAGUUGGCUAAUUAUUUUUAUUUUUUUUUGUAGAAGUUGGCUAAUUGGUUUAGCCGAAGCAAAAUUGGAAAUUAUUUUGACAUUUAGAAGUUUUAUCAUUAAAUAUACAUGGUCGUUGACAAGUGACAACUAAAUAUAUGGGGUUACUAUUACUAAUUUUCUUGAGCUUUGAGGGCCCAUUUAAGAAUUUGUAAGCUAGGUGGACUUUUGUACAAUUGGUUUUUCUCGACGGUUCGAGAAAGCGGAGGAUGAUUAGAAAUUAGGUUUCUUCAACACAAAGCAAUAACUUGAUCCCUGAGGAGCGAUGGAGGAGGUUGAUAUAGAUGGUACGAAUCCAACUUUUUUUUAUCAUGCUUUAGAGUUUCGUGUAUAUUGUCGCAAUCGAUGCCAAGUUUGUGUGUAUAUAUCCAUGACUCUGAUAAGCUUGUCUCAGGUAGGUCUCCAAUGCUGGGACGUGUGUAUCUGAGUUACGAGGUUGGUUCUUUUCCUAAGAAUCUGAUUCCUCCGCAUAUUCGACGGGACGAGAAUAAAGAGCCUAAGUACACGACACAGCAAGAGUGUGUUAUGAUGAGAAGACAAGUCAGGAAGAGCAAGGUUCUUCUUCUCCUUCUUGUUCUUGUUCUUUUUCAAUUCGCCACUUCAUUUUGAGGUUUUUUCAUGUUGAUUUGUCGAUUCUCUGUGUUAUACAAUUUAGGGGUUCGACAUCGAUUUCACACAGUUCCGCUCUGUUUUCAAUUACCGCCCUGUUAAUUUUGACUGUAAAGAGUAUUCUUUGGCACCAGAAACCACUAGGGGGUUACUCGAGAGGCUGUCUCGAAACUCCCUUAAGAACUACAACAAAGAAUGGGUCUGCUUUCAAAUUCUCUUUGUUGUCUUGAAAGAUAGAUCAGUUUUAGUUUGAUCUGCUAAUGAAAUUGUUUUCUUGGAUAACAGUUUACAGAAUAUGAAUUUCUCAAUGUUGUCAAAGCCAAUUCUUACAUGUGUUCUGGGAUAAUGUUUUUCAUAACCUUUGAGGUUCGAGAUCCUUACGAUAACCUGGCAAAGCUCUUCCAAGCUAGGGUCCGCUAUUAUUAUGAUGUUACAGAUGACUACAUAUUAUGCAGACCAAAACCCAAUCAGAAAGGUAUUAUUGUUCUCUUCUUUCUACAUGACUAAUGUAAUCGUUUCUGUAUAUCCUUAGGGCAGAUUUUUUAUGAAUAUCAUGUUGUGGUGUGUAUUUGUAUCAUUCUUUCUCUUUUGGAUUAUAUGAUCCUAUAUAUGUUUCUUCA